GAUGAACGCUGACAGAAUGCUUAACACAUGCAAGUCAACUGUGUCGGACGGGUGAGUAACGCGUAAAGAACUUGCCUCACGGAUAGGGACAACAUUUGGAAACGAAUGCUAAUACCUGAUACUGUGAGAGAGCUUUGCGUCCCAUUAGCGAGUUGGCGAGGUAACGGCUCACCAAGGCGAUGAUGGGUAGCCGGCCUGAGAGGGUGAUCUGCCACAAGGGGACUGAGACACGGCCCUGACUCCUACGGGAGGCAGGAGUGGGGAAGAUUGGACAAGGGACCAAAGUCUGAUCCAGCAAUUCUGUGUGCACGAUGAAGUUUUCGGAAUGUAAAGUGCUUUCAGUGGGGAAGCGGUACCAACGGAAGAAGUGACGGCUAAAUACGUGCCAGCAGCCGCGGUAAUUC
rnacentral:rRNA from 1 species